UACAGAGGUCUCAAGCGUUGUUCGGAUUCAUUGGGCGUAAAGGGUGCGUAGGUGGCGGGGUAAGUCUGGUGUGAAAUCCUGGGGCUCAACCCCGGAACUGCACUGGAUACUGCUUUGCUAGAGUACUGGAGAGGGAACUGGAAUUUACGGUGUAGCAGUGAAAUGCGUAGAUAUCGUAAGGAAGACCAGUGGCGAAGGCGAGUUCCUGGACAGUUACUGACACUGAGGCACGAAGGCCAGGGGAGCAAACGGG
rnacentral:rRNA from 1 species